AAUAUUGGUCAAUGGGCGAGAGCCUGAACCAGCCAUGCCGGGUGUAGGAAGACGGCCUUCUGGGUUGUAAAAUAAUUUUAUACAGGAACAAAUAGUCCAUGCGUGGAAAAUUGAGUGUGCUGUAUGAAUAAGCACCGGCUAACUCCGUGCCAGCAGCCGCGGUAAUAGGGAGGGUGCGAGCGUUGUCCGGAUUUAGUGGGUUUAAAGGGUGGGUGGGCAUCAAUUAAGUCAGGGGUGAAAUCGUAUAGCUUAACUAAGAAGGGGCAGGGAUAGGGGUGGGCGGGGGGGCAGAAGAGGUAGGCGGAAUGUAUGGUGUAGCGGUGAAAUGCAUAGAUACCAUAAAGAACACCGAGAGCGAAGGCAGCUUAAGGGACUGUAAGUGAGGGUGGGGCACGAAAGCAUGGGUAGCGAACAGGAUUAGAUACCGUGGUAGUCCAUGCCGUA
rnacentral:rRNA from 1 species